UACAGAGGGGGCAAGCGUUGUUCGGAAUUACUGGGCGUAAAGGGCGCGUAGGCGGCCCGCUAAGUCGAACGUGAAAUCCCCGAGCUCAACUCGGGAACUGCGUCCGAUACUGGCGGGCUUGAAUCCGGGAGAGGGAUGCGGAAUUCCAGGUGUAGCGGUGAAAUGCGUAGAUAUCAGGAGGAACACCGGUGGUGCAAACGGCUUUCUGGACCGUAACUGACGCUGAGACACGAAAGCGUGGGGAGCAAACAGG
rnacentral:rRNA from 1 species